UUACCUUAUUUUCUGUCAAAUUAUUACUGUAUAUGUUUUAUGUUCAAUAAACAAAUCAUACCAAGGUGAGUAGACAAACUCAAGGAAAGGAGAAGGUGAUAAGAAGAAAUCAGCACAUGGAGAAUUGAGAUGACUCUCACAAGGAAGGACAAUCAUUUGGCGUCCCCCUGGUCCUAAAACCUGCCAGUUAUAUACAUAUAUUUAAUUUCAACUGAAAGUCCACAUUUGACCGCACAAGAUCACCCCACUUGCUUGUCCCAGUCGUUGUGUGACGGCAGCAGGCCGAGGGGUGAAAGUUCAUCUCAACAUGCGUCCUUCUCUUUGAUCCCCCUCUUCACCCACGUCCCCCUCCUUUGACGUGAUGAACGAGGGCGGCGGCCAUGUUGAGAGGUUAAGAGCUGUUUUAUUGGCCAGGGUGAACUCUGGCCUGUAGGUCACAGAGGACAAAACAAACACAUGCUCAGCUUCAAGGGAGACUCAAUCACUGGGUUGGUAAGUUUUAGUGUGUCAAUGUGCAUAUGUAUGAAUAUGCGCAGAUGCAUGUGUAGAUGUGUUCGCGUGCCUCGGAGUUCAUUGAAGGCAUUUGAACUUUUGCUCUCUGCUCAAGAUUAGUGCAAGCAGGCCGAAACAUGAAGGUCACACACUUGAUCCGCUCAGUGAUCACUAAGCAGUGCUCACAAACCGACAAAUACCCCAUUCACCACUACACAGACUAAUGCUACUGUUACCUCUUUCCUUUCUUUCCCUGUGGCAAGCUAGCAAAGAAUUGGAAGGUGAGAGACACCAGAGAAUAAGGCCGUUGUGUGUAUCACCGGCUUAAAAUAAUGGCCUCCAAAGUCAUAUUUCGACAAAAACAUAUUUGGGGGUUUAACCAUCCCAUGAUGUUGGUCGCCUGUGCUAAAAUCACUGACAUCCUAAGUUAAACAGAUCAAUUCUUCCCUUGUUAUGAAAUUGUUGAUAAUUAUGAUAUGAUCCGUAUUUGGUUAAUCUUUUUGUGUUUGUGAGAAAAAAAAACCUGAGAAAAUCAUUUUAGGAGGACUCGCACCACAAACAUAUAUACUGAUCAAUCUGCAUAACUUCAGUGUACAGUAUCUUCAGAGUGUACAUUUUUUCCUUCAAUUUCCCAUGAUGUCUUGGGGUUCAGGGGCUUUGCUGGAACUACGACUGAAUCUCCGCCUCUAAAAAAAUCAUGACAGUAGUUUGACAACUACUGGGCAGAAGACUAACAAACAGAAGCCGACGGAAAGCGGCUGAGAGGAUUCGGAAGUGACGCCGAAUGAAUAGGAUUUCUGCUCAAUAGUCUCUGUUUUCUGUGAGAGGGGAGAAGCUGAAAAUGACAACGUUUCCCAGAGGAAUUUCAUCACUCUUUACCGGGGAUGCUUCUGAGUGACCUUUGGUGGUUCGUGUCCAGAACUCCUCAAUCAGUUUUCACAGGCAUGUGCACACUUUCUGCCCCCACCCCCCACCAAA